ncrna:Bacillus velezensis M27 skipping-rope RNA
GGAUUUCUGAGGAUGGAACAGGCAGCCAUCACCCUAUGUUGGAGAUGCGGGAGUGCCACCCCGCCUAAAUCC